rnacentral:rRNA from 1 species
UACGUAGGGUGCAAGCGUUGUCCGGAAUUAUUGGGCGUAAAGAGCUCGUAGGCGGUCUGUCGCGUCUGCUGUGAAAACCUAGGGCUUAACUCUGGGCGUGCAGUGGGUACGGGCAGGCUAGAGUUCGGUAGGGGAGACUGGAAUUCCUGGUGUAGCGGUGAAAUGCGCAGAUAUCAGGAAGAACACCCGUGGCGAAGGCGGCUCUCUGGACAACUUCUGACGCUGAGGCACGAAAGCUAGGGGAGCAAACAGG